GACAGCGUGGCUUAGGGGUUUGAGCGUGGGACUAGGACACUGGGAGACCAGGGUUCAAAUCCCUGUUUAGCCA